AUGAAAUAUUCAGCCCCAAAUAGCACUUGAUUACAGAAGAGUUUUCACUUGUUAACCUGACCGAUACAGCAACCAUCACACCAAACAUUCCAAAACCUGUUUCAUUAGAUAGAAACAAUCAAUGAAUUUGGGCAACCAGUAUCUGAUUGAAUACUAUAGCUAAAAGUGUGUCACAGCUUUGUUCUGAUCGGUUGUUUCUGUUUAUGUGUUUUGUACGCUGUGUGUUUUGUCAUUGGUUUGUUUUGACAGGUGGCCAUGCACGUACCAGUCAUUGUCUUAAGCCCAGGAUACACUGCAAGAUUUUUGCUCUCCUAUAAUAUCAUUACCUUAUCACACUGUGCGACAUGGAUCAUUUAAACUUGGAUUGUGCCCUGAUGCCAUCUGCCCCGUUCUCCCAGCCUCAUCUUCCCUCUCUAUGCCUAGCUUCACAUCGGUUGGCUCUUCUUUGGCUCUCUUCAUCCCGUCUGCCUGCCUCGCUGCUCUCCCUGAUAACAUUUCCUGACUGAUGCCUUGCACUCUGACUCUUUCUGCAAGGUGCCAUUCUCAGCAGUGACUCAAUUUAGUGCCACCCUGCUGCUUGGCAUUGCACUUCUGAGGUCAUCACCAUCUUUCUUCAGCCAACCAAAAUGAUUCUCACCAACCACCCCAGCUCUGCUAAGCUUGAUGUUGGAGGUCUGCUGUUUUUGAAGCAGGGGACCACUGUCCAUUAAAGGCUUCAUAAACCAUUUAACAAAAUCACAUAAGAUAGGGUAGUUCAUACUCCAUGCGAUGUGCCAUACAAUGGAAGGGCCAUGUUCCUUAUCACAUCUGGAUACUGCAAAGCUCCUGUCUCCUCAACAAUUUACGAACUAAUCAAUUAUUAAAUGAAGAAAUGCUAUGGAAAAGCAAAGAUAUUUCUUCCUGUGGAAUUUGAGUCUUAAAUUUAGUAAUUACUGUUUUAUGGCAUAAAUAAAAUAUAAA